rnacentral:misc_RNA from 1 species
AACGCACAUUGCGCCCUUUGGUAUUCCGAAGGGCAUGCCUGUUCGAGCGUCAUUAUCACCCCUCAAGCCCCCGGCUUGGUGUUGGACGGUUUGGUGGAGGUCCCCUCGCGGGGCCACCGCCCCUCCCAAAGACAAUGACGGCGGCCUCGUUGGACCCCCGGUACACUGAGUUCUUCACGGGACACGUAUCGGACACACGGGUUUACGGGACACGGUCUGCCUCCCCUCAGGGAGAAUCUUUCUAAGGUUGACCUCGGAUCAGGUAGGGAUACCCGCUGAACUUAA